CUAUGACCCAAAGGUUAUGGCGGAAGGAG
ncrna:unclassified sequences L31-Firmicutes ribosomal protein leader